UUCUACUGUAUUUAUAACUCGAAGGAAAUAAAACAUUACUAUCCAGUAUUUUUGUAAACUGCAGUGAGCACGCCGGGACUUUCAUCCGUCUUGUUAACAGGCAAGUUCCCCUUUGCUUUGCGCGAUUUCAUAGACAAAAUACAUUACAUUUGCUACUGCAACUAAUCUGUAUAGUGGAUAUCGGAAGUGACACUAUCUUUUAUUUGCUCUUUUCAGUGAUAAACGCGCCAAAUACGACAUCAUCGAGUGCAACUGGAUUUCUGACUCUGUGACUCGGAUUAUAUUAUUCCCAAUUACAGGGUUCAGGUGAAACACCAGGAAGAAGAAUCCAGCACUGGAUGAUCAGCCUUGAGGAGCACAUCAUUUGUGAGGGCAUCCAGCCGCCUUUUCUGUCUGGGCUUGCAGCUGAUUUUUCUACUUACAACAAUUUCAAUCUUCAAUACCAAGCUGAAGACGCAUGCAUGUUGGAAAUUAUUCAAAGGUGGUUCAUCGAGAUAAAUCCGGAAAAGGGACCAGGGCUGGAGGAGUCAUAUCAAAGCUGAUGGGGAAGGUCACCCAGAAAAAGAAAACCGUGAACCCUCGUGUCUGCAGUCUACUUAAAAAAAAUUAUGGAUUUUGAGUUGGACUUUAUACAAGUAUUACACACCACAGACCACACACACACUCACAUCACACACACACGUUUGUUUUUGUGAAAAGUGGGGACAUCCCAUAAGCGUAAUGGUUUUUAUACUGUAAAAACUGUAUGUGCUAUUGCCCUACACCUAAACCUACCCUUUACAGCGAACUUUGUGCUAUUUCAGAUUUUCAAUACACUCCAUUUUGUGUGAUUUAUAAGCCUUUUGAAAAGUGGGGACAUGGGGUAAUGUCCUGAAAAGUCACCUGCUCCUUGUAAUACCUGUCAUUACACAAAUUUAUGUCCUCAUUUGUCACAAAAAUGUGCGUGCGCACACACCCACACACACAGUCUCUUGAUCUCUAUUUUUUCAGGUAUUCAUUAAUUUCUAUUCACUCAAAAACAUUUACUCAGGUGUUCUCUAAGUUUUUCACUUAAUCUUUGUGUCCAGAGUUAUUUUUUUGGACAGCCUGCAUGACCUAUUAGAAUUAAUUGUUAAAGAGUUAAAGCAAUUUAUUUAUCAUUUAUACAGCUGAAAUGUACAUUUAUUGUCAUAAAUGUAAUAAGCUUUGGGCUUUAUUUUACAAUUUGUUUUCAUUUUGUACCAAUGUUCUGUAAGUCAGAAUCUGAUUUGGGGAAUAUGUUGAGUUUAUUUCUGUUAUGACCACUUCUUCCCCUUAAAUUUCAAUUAUUGUCUUUAAUGUUUUUUCUAAGAAUUUUUUUUUUUUUUUUUUUUUUUAAUAAAGCAAAACAAGUUUUGA